rnacentral:lncRNA from 1 species
UUAAGGCCAUGGUCUAAGAUGAUAAAAUCACCAAACCAAAAGUCAGAUCUAUAAAGAUUUGUUCCAUAAAACAAAUGUAUAUGUGAGAUAUAUCCAAACAUGGGAAAACAUAAAUACCAUGGUUUUUGGAUUUACAUCAAAACGAUUGAAUAGUUGCACCCAGGAGAAACUAACAGUUGUAGAGGCACUCAAAAACUUCUCAACCUAGAGGCAAAAAUUCUUGACUAAGUGGAUGAAGGGGAUCCGUGAGGGAGAAGUGCAUCAAGAAGAUACAUUGAAUAUAUCAGCAAGAAGUUACCAAGGCACUGAAGAGGAAUUUAAGAAUUAUGGAAGUUUCAGUUAAAAUUGCUUAUGGAUAGAAUUUUAUGUUGUGGGAUGAAUAAUCUUGGAUAGAUCACUGGGGGAUAAAAUGAUGAAGCGAUUGGCCCAACCUCGGUCUCUAGGAUCAUCUAAUUUGCGAAAGAGAGAUUUCCAACCAUGUCUAGACAAUUGGAUUAGCCCUCCUCAAAUUGAUCCAGGUGAAUAAAGAGAAGCAGAUAAGUCAAAGAAAAUUCCUCACCAACCCCCAAAGUGGCCAACAAGUGAAGACACACGACGAUCCUCAAUACCCUGGGGUUGAGUUGGACAACACAUACAUUAAAGGCAUUGUAGAAUGAACGAUCACCUUAUCCAUGGCAUGGUAUUUCUAAGACCAUACUAAAUAGGUAGGUAUAGGUGAAAGUGUGGCUAGGAUGAGAUAGAGAGAUGCUUUCGAAUGGGUUGGGUGCUUCAACUCAAAAUUCUUCAAUAGGUCACCCAGAGUCCCUUUGGAUGAUAUUUAGAUUACCUGUUUUCAUGAGGAACCCCAUUUCAUCACCAUUCUAUCUAUCCCUUUAUUUUCUUGCAACAUGAGGACCUAAAGUCUUUAUUGAAAGAGAAACGAUUGGGAAGAAUCUCAUUAAUGGUUGACUUAUAAUGAUCAGAAUCUUUGCUCUU